CCUACGGGGGGCAGCAGUGGGGAAUAUUGGGCAAUGGGCGCAAGCCUGACCCAGCAACGCCGCGUGAAGGAAGAAGGCUUUCGGGUUGUACACUUCUUUUCUCAGGGACGAAGCAAGUGACGGUACCUGAGGAAUAAGCCACGGCUAACUACGUGCCAGCAGCCGCGGUAAUACGUAGGUGGCAAGCGUUAUCCGGAUUUACUGGGUGGAAAGGGCGUGUAGGCGGGAAAGCAAGUCAGAUGUGAAAACCAUGGGCUCAACCUGUGGCCUGCAUUUGAAACUGUUUUUCUUGAGUACUGGAGAGGCAGACGGAAUUCCUAGUGUAGCGGUGAAAUGCGUAGAGAUUAGGAGGAACAGCAGUGGCGAAGGCGGUCUGCUGGACAGCAACUGACGCUGAGGCGCGAAAGCGUGGGGAGCAAACAGGAUUAGAUACCCUUGUAGUC
rnacentral:rRNA from 1 species